rnacentral:lncRNA from 1 species
AAGAAGAGAAAAUCACGCAGCCGCCAGGGAAAAAAUAAAUAAAUUAGAGAUAUCAAUAUAAUAAUAUUAUCCCUCACUCUCUUUAGAAUAGAAUGUGUAAUAAAAAUGGAAGGAAUGGAGAUUAUAUAUUUGAAUAGCGAACAUUGGUGCUGCAUCUGGAAAUAAAUAAUAAAGAAUUGUGAAGAUAAAACAUUGAGAGAGGGGAGCAAGGUUGGGGUCUGAAUCAUAGGAAGUGGAAGG